rnacentral:lncRNA from 1 species
AGAGACGUCUGGAGGGCAGCCAGAGCGGAGAGGCACCCUUGGCUUGUUUACAGCUGCCGACUGUGUCCCGGGCACCUGUGAGCAACAGCGACAGAGGCGUCAGCCAGGAGAGCCCGCCCUCACCAUCCACAGAGACCUACGCAAAAGAAAAUCAGGGGUCCGUCAGGGACCACGCACCCAUGGGGAGGCAGGUCGCUCAUCUUGAGAAGCAGAUGUUUUUAAAGGGGGGAGAGGAUUCCGGCUGGUGACCUUCAGUGAAUCGCGUUUCGCUGUCACGCUGUCAACAUGCAUUCAGACCAUUGCCGAGGCCUGGUUCUGCUUAUGAGAUAAGCAUCCUCCCCUGUGACUCUGUGACCCUGCUGUCCUCUUCGUCUCGUGAGAAACCUCGUUCAGAGUCUCCCCUUUGCUCUGCAGGAUGUACGUAAGCAGCAUUUUCCUCCUUCCUCUAAGUGCGGCCUUUCCCCACUGGCCUUGAACUCCAGAAAUGGGACAGACAGGCUUGCGCUCUUGAGCCUAAUUGCCUUGGCAGACCCAUCUGUCUCCAGCAUCGGCAUCUCACGUACCACAUGCCCAAGUGCACUGGGUGAGCUGGCAACCUCCUGAGCCUGAUCGACAGAAAGCUGGAGGUCCAUGGGGGUUGGAUGGCAGCCCCGCUUAAAUCUCUUUGCUGGAAAUUUCACUAAAGAAGACAGCUGGUGCCUAAGAUUCCCAGGGCACCUGCCAUGCUUGCUGAGCAGGAGGAUAAUCAGAACAUCCUGCUCACCUGGCACAGGGGCUGGUUCAAAGAUGCUUCCCUGAUGAACCAAUUAGAGGACCAACAACUUCAGUCUAACCCUUCAGGUUGACCUGGGCAUGAUUCAAGCACAUUUGCAGCUGCCUGCUGUGUCCAUGAUGAUAAAUAAAGCCUCAUGGAGCAGAGGAGCAGAUGAGAGAGAGCUGGGAGACAGAAAUUGAAAAACUGCAGACCGGGGACAUCUUCUGAGCCCUGAAUUCAGCCAGCCGGACAACCAGUCUCUUUACACCAGUGUCUUUCCAAUCCCGAGCCCGGGAACAUACAGAGAAUUUCAGCGCAUUUCUUCAAAGGCUAUAGUUUAAAUGAUGAAAAUCUUUUGGAAAGUAUCUUCAUUUGGUAAUAAUGCUAAGCAAACUAUUUCUGAAAACCAACAAGGAAUGUAACAGAGGAAAAGUUUCCCCCAACUUUCCGAUUUGUAGCAGCACAAGAAGAUGAUUGUGAGCUUCUGCUAUAAUUAAUAGGCACGCAGUUAAGUGAAUUAUGCAAUAUUAAAAUAUCACUGAGGGGGCAGAACUAGAGAUAAAUGUCCUCCUCCGGGCUGGAUGGAACUCUUCUGGGGAACCGCGUUAUAAAGUCCUUUAAUUUAAAAAAUUACAUUUCCGGGGCCUCAUAUUGUCAGAAAGACAAAUAAUCUGGCUCAGUGAGAAACAUAGAUUUAGAGGACUGUACUUAAGAGCCCAGCACGGGGUUGUACAUCACUGUCAAGUGGAAAGGAACAGGGACACAGAAGCUGCAUACCUGGUUCCACAGGGCAAGUGCUGAUGGAAAAGUCAGCCUUGUGCAUCUCUGAGUCUGAGAUGCCUGAGCUCAGCAGCUUAUGUGUACCCAGCUGGGCACGCUCGCUGUUUUAAUACCGGUUUUAUGAUUCUUUAGGGCUCCUGGGGCCAGGAAAUCAGGAAAGGACCCCCCCUCGGAAAGAUGAUUUGUUACAGAUCCCAGGAGGAAGCGGCAUGCCACACCCCAAGGGGCCACUCAGGGAAGCACCAGGGCUGUUCCGGACAGGACAGCUGUAGGCAAGAUCCUUUACUGUGAUUUCACCAGAAAAGAAUGGGGUGAGUCAGGGUAAGCAGGCUUAGGAUUCUCCAGUUCAAAUAAGGCCAGCAGGCUCUCAGGGGUAGGGGCUGUCUCUAGUUGUCCAGUACCCGCCUCAGGGUGAGGUGGGCAGGGGGUGGCGGCCCAGAGUGUCAGAGCCUGGGAUGGGAGGACUGGGCCGUGGGUUCUGGACUGGCUGAUUUGCAGGUGAAAGGCUAGUAUCUCUAGGGAUUGUCUAUCCGUGGGCAGGGAGAGGUUAAGGGGCGGUCCCCCAGGGUCGUCAAGGUCCAGACAUCAAAGCAACAGACGCUAGAAGACAAAGUUAAUACCCACAGAAAGAGUUGCAGGCCCACCUGCAAAGUCUGCAAGGGUGAGUGUCCCUGAUAGGGACGGAGCAGGGUAGCGACACACGCAGUUAUACACGUCCCAGUAGGGACCAUAGAUAGAGAGGGAAACCUAAGGUGUGACUUAGGGGGAAACUUGACCCCAUGACAGCCUCUGCCACAGGGGGAGUGCAGGGGAUUUUUGAAACAGACCCCAGCCCUACUCCUUCCACUGAGAAAGGGCUCUCCCCUGCUAUCGGUCACCCCUGGAAUGGCCCCCACACUUCUGAAUCAAAAAGCAAAAAUGAAGACUUCCUAUUGUGGCUCAGAGGGUCAAGACCCCCACAUAGUGUCCCUGAGGAUGCAGGUUUGAUCCCUGGCCUUGCUUGGUGGGUUAGCAUCCUGCAUUGCUGAAGGCUGUGGUGCAGGUUGAAGAUGUGUCUCAGAUCCAGCGUUGCUGUGGCUGUGGUGUAGCCGGCAGCUGCAGCUCUGAUUCAACCCCUAGCCUGGGAACUUCCAUAUGCCACAGGUUCAACCCUAAAAGCAAAAAAAAAAAAA